CUGAGGAGCCAGUAGGCAGCAGGAAGUGGGAGAGAAGGAACUUCAGGAAGCCUGAUAUUUGCUAAAUGUCCCAAGGGGAUGGGGCUCAGCUUAAAAUUCAUUAGAAAAAAAACACAGCAAAGCGCCUGAGUCUGAGGAGUUUGGUGCUCUGUGGCAAUUCCUGCUGGAGCCUUCUUAAUUUCCUUGAUAACUGAGGGUCACCGACGAUGGGCACGUCCUCUUCUGGGGCCCGGCUGUAAUGGACGGGGUCCAAACUCUUCAGAUUCCCUGCCCCAUGCCUGGCUCUCCAACCCCACUCCUCACCUCGCUUGUGGCCCACCGCGCCCCAGCCAAGCCCAGCGACACAAGUAACCUAAGCCAGCUGCCUUGUGCCUGCCAGACUUCGCCCAGGACCACGGCCCUUCCCCGGAGCUCUCCUCAACUAACUGUACGCCUCCCUCAUGUUCCCAUCCUAUCUGCCUUUCAGCAAUAAGCUCGGUUAAGAACCCCUUU